GCGGAAAAGAAUCUCGGAUAUCGACGGGAAAAUACACGUGUGUCACGUGUGUGUUGACAUCUGCAUAGUGCUAUAACCUCAAAAAGAUACGUUGAGUGAAAUAUCAACCCACGAUAAUGCGCCUAAAAACCAAACUGAUCAACAUCUGCAUAAGGCACAAUUGUACAAAAUCUAAAAAGGAUUUACCGAAGAAUUCUUACAAACCGUACCAAACGAAAAGAAUUCAUCGUGUAAAGAAAAACGAAGUGACUUCCUGCGCAAAAUCAGUCGACUUAACCUCAAACUCUGGCACAUCAAAUUUUGAAAAGUUGUCGGAUUUUACGAAUGAAGCGGUCGACAAGAUUGAUAAGCCGGUUUACGACAUUUCCAAUGACGCGGGAAUGCGAAUGUUGCAUCAUUCCACCCUAAAGUCGAAACCUCUUCAAAUUCAUUACGAUUUCACUAGUAAUAAUUUAAAACCGAUUCUAAGGCCAUAUAUAAACGGUAAUCAAAACAUAGAAUCACAAAAUUCAUUUCACAGACUUGUGACUGAACAAAAUACGACAAAACUCAAUACUACCAAUCAUGAUGAUUUACCCAAAACAUUCAGGAGUAAACCAUCGACCAAGACCCGAGCAGAAUGGAAUUUCCCAUUUCAAUCAGCAAACUCAAUUGCUACUCAUGCUGAUAUUCCACAACGAGAAAUCAAUCUCAGUGUUGAGGCUAAUAACGAUAUUCAAAUAUUAAAACCCAUGAAUGAUGGAAAAACACGGUUCAACGAACUUAAUAUGCAGAUGUUGUCUCAGCACUUGUAUCAACAAGUUUUCCCAAACUGCAAUUCUCAAAAUGAAUUGCCACCGGAGAGAUUGGAAUUGUUAAGAAAAGAGCUCUCGAAGGCUGGCAUGAAUAUUAAUGACAUAAAAAAUAUACCAGACGCCGAUAUCAAUCUUCCUGCUUUCGAAGGAAAGGAUAUAGAAGAGCAUUUCUACAAUAUUGCGAAAGAUCAAACCAAAGAUUAUUUGAAAAUAAUUCAUAAAAUAUUGGAAAGAAUUCCGGACAUGCCAGAAAACUGGCUAAUGGAAGAAGGCUGGACAAGAUACUCGAAAGACGGGGUUGAGCGUGUGGAACAUCCUUUGGAAAAUGGAAUAAUCUUUGACGUAGAGGUGUGUAUGAAAGAAGGACCAUUGCCAACACUUGCAACGGCAGUAACGAGCGAGGCGUGGUACGGUUGGGUCUCAAAAUCGCUGGUAGAAGGAAAUAGCAUACCAGUUGAGAGUCGUUCAUUAACAACGGAUGUUUUAAUACCAAUGGAAAGUACAGUGAUCGAGGACGGUAAAAAAUUAACGGAUAAUCACAAGAAACCAAAAAUAAUAAUCGGUCAUAACGUUUCUUACGAUCGUCAGAGAAUAAAAGAGCAAUAUUGGUUGAAUUGUACGGGAGCUCGUUUCGUUGAUACAAUGUCGAUGCACGUCGCAGUCAGUGGAUUAAACAGUUACCAGAGAACAGUUUUGAAAACAGAGAAACACGAAGGCAAAAAGGAAGCAUGGGAGAGCUUGACUUCGUUGAACGGUCUCGCCGAUGUUUACCGUCUUUAUUGCGGUCACGAAUUAGAUAAAAAAUCUCGUAACGUUUUCGUUGAAGGCACGCUGAAAGAAAUUCGCGAGCAAUUCCAUGAUUUGAUCAAAUAUUGCGCAUUGGAUGUAAUAGCAACGCAUCAAAUCUUGGUCAAACUUUUCCCAAUGUUCGAGGAAAGAUUCCCCCAUCCGGUAAGUUUGUCAGGCAUGUUGGAACUCGGCUCCGCGUAUUUGCCGGUCAAUUCUAAUUGGCAGCGUUACAUCGAAGAAUCCGAGUCAACUUUUGAGGACCAGAAUUAUGAAGCGAAAAUGCGUCUGUCCAGACGGGCAGAUCAAGUGUGCAAACUUAUACACGACGAAAAGUACAAGGAUGAUUUGUGGAUGUGGGAUCAAGACUGGAGCGUUCAACCCAUAAAGCUUAAAGCUACUGCGAGCAAAACCAAGCGCAAGGAUAUAGAAAACGAAAUUGCUAACUUCAAAAUUCAAGAUUCUGAUUUUGAGAAAUAUUUAACCGACGGAGAGGACGAAGUAGAUCCAUUGGAAGAGGAAUUUCGUUAUUUACAAGAAACGAGACAUUUUCUCCCAGCGAAGUUACCUCACAUGUCGGGUUAUCCCGCUUGGUAUCGGAAAUUGUGCAUGAAAUACAGCGACGAGAACUGGCUGCCAGGACCUCAGAAUAUAAGUACUUCCAUGCAAAUAGUCCCAAAGCUUUUGAACCUGACGUGGGAAAAUUAUCCACUUCACUACAUCAAAGAACAUGGUUGGGGUUUUUUAGUGCCUUAUACAGACAAUCCUGAAGUACAAACAAAGUUACCUCUGAAACAACUCCUCGCUCAGUGUCCUUUGCCUAAUUCCGGUGCUAAACGAGAUGGAGCUGAUUACGCCAUGUCAACAUUGAGAUCCGAUGUACAGAACGAAUUAACGAAAACAGAGUUUUGGCGAUACAAAAAGAAAAAACCGAAAACAGAGCCACCUGAAACGUUUUACAAGGGCAGUGGCAUAUGGUGUAACGUCGAUAUCGACAAUUGUUGUUGGUUCUUCAAACUGCCUCAUAAAAAUGGAGCUUCCCAUAACGUCGGGAACCCCCUAGCCAGAGAUUUUCUCAACAAAUUUUCAGAAAAUGUACUGGCCGGUCUAGACUCGAGUGCUUCGGAAGUUUUGCAAAUUGCUCGAACGGUCUCUUAUUGGAGGAACAAUCGCGACAGAAUAAUGUCACAGACUGUAGUUUGGCUCAAGGACGAAAGUUUGCCGAACACGGUGCGAAGAAGUGAGAAAGGGAUGCGUUACGGUGCUAUAAUACCGCAGGUGGUUGUAAGUGGAACAGUAACGAGAAGAGCAACAGAGCCAACCUGGAUGACAGCCUCGAACGCUUCGAUGGAACGUAUCGGUUCGGAGCUUCGAGCAAUGGUGCAAGCUCCUCCAGGUUACAACAUCGUUGGUGCCGAUGUAGACAGCCAAGAAUUGUGGAUAGCUUCGGUGAUCGGCGAUGCUUAUUGCGCUGGACUCCACGGUGCAACACCAUUCGGUUGGAUGACAUUGAUCGGGACUAAGGCCAAUAGUACGGAUAUGCACAGCGUGACCGCAAAAGCCGUUGGAAUCUCGAGGGAUCACGCAAAGGUCAUAAAUUACGCGAGAAUUUAUGGUGCCGGACAAAAGUUCGCAGAAAGACUAUUGAAACAGUUUAAUCCUACGAUGAGCGAGUCCGAGGCAACGUCUAAAUCUCGAAAAAUGUUUUCCCUCACGAAAGGCAAAAGGAUUUUUCGUUUAAAACCGGAAUACGUAAACGACGAUCUCGAUGAUUGCGAUUAUUCUUCUUGGGACACAUACAAAAUCGCAAAAGCUCACGGAAAAUUGCAAGAUGAAAUGUUCGACCAAGGUAGCUGGUCGGGUGGCACGGAAUCCGCAAUGUUCAAUAGGCUCGAACAAAUAGCCGGAAUGAAAGAGCCCGUUACACCAUUUUUGAACUCACGAUUAAGCCGAGCUCUCGAAGGCGAUGGCCGGAAAGACGAAAAAUAUCUACCGACUAAAAUAAAUUGGGUUGUGCAGAGCGGCGCUGUUGACUUUCUUCAUCUUAUGCUCGUUUCCAUGCGAUGGCUCAUGAGCGACAGUGCAAGAUUUUGCUUGUCGUUUCACGACGAAGUUCGUUACAUCGUACCAGCUAAAUACAAGUACAACGCUGCCUUGGCAAUGCACGUUACGAAUUUAUUGACCAGAGCUUUUUGCUCGUCCAGACUAGGCAUCAAGGACCUACCCAUGUCCGUUGCCUUUUUUGCUUCGGUUGAAGUUGAUACUGUCCUUCGAAAGGAGUCUGGACUUGACUGUAAAACACCCUCUAAUCCGCAUGGUUUGGAAAAUGGUUACGGCAUUCCAGCCGGUGAAAGCCUUGACGUGUGGUCGGCUAUCGAAAAAUCUGGUGGUUUUCUUGGACCUUGGCACAUGGCGAAAACGAAAAAACGUUCAAAGGAUGUUAAAACCACGGAACUUGAUUCCUGAUUUGCCUCGAAUGAAGAGUUUGGUAAACGAAGAACAGAAUUGUCGAUCAGUUUGGUUUUUCACUAUUCCGAGAUUUUUCAUAAGUUACAAUGUCGAAGGCGACGAAGCGUAAACAUGUCACGAAAGAACUCGAAGAUAACGUACUCGAAAUACCAAAUGACAAGCAAGCGAUAGUACGACUGAUUGAUUCACGGG